CAGCCGCCGCGGGAAUACGAAGGGGGCUAGCGUUGUUCGGAUUUACUGGGCGUAAAGGGCGCGUAGGCGGGCGAUUAAGUCAGAGGUGAAAUCCCAAGGCUCAGCCUUGGAACUGCCUUUGAUACUGGUUGUCUCGAGUCCGGGAGAGGUGAGUGGAACUGCGAGUGUAGAGGUGAAAUUCGUAGAUAUUCGCAAGAACACCAGUGGCGAAGGCGGCUCACUGGCCCGGAACUGACGCUGAGGCGCGAAAGCUAGGGGAGCAAACAGGAUUAGAGACCCCCGUAGUCCCUGUCUCUUAUAC
rnacentral:rRNA from 1 species